rnacentral:rRNA from 1 species
GUCUAUGGCCGUACCACCCUGAAUGCGCCCGAUCUCGUCUGAUCUCGGAAGCUAAGCAGGGUCGGGCCGGGUUAGUACUUGGAUGGGAGACUGCCUGGGAAUACCGGGUGCUGUAGGCU